ACAACCGGGAAGAGGUCACCUCCUUCUCCUCCUAGUUGGUUCUCUUUCUCACAAGGAAAGGAAGUCAAUCUAGUCCCGGACUUCGAAUCGAGACGUAUGUCAUUUGAAAGCAUAUGUUUAGCCUAGAUCACCACAAAAAUUUUAGCGGCGAGUCACGAUCUCAUAUCUCCCCCAAUUUGCACAUUCCAUCACUCAUU
ensembl:snoRNA C23G10.12 ncRNA